rnacentral:lncRNA from 1 species
UCAAAUAUAUAUCAUAGAUAAUCUGAUCACAAGUCCACAAUUCAUCGGAUCUCGACAAACACACCGCCAAAGAAGAUUACAUCGGAUAGAUCUCCAUGAAGAUCAUGAGGAACUUCGUAUUGAAGAUCCAAGAGAGAGAAGAAGCCAUCUAGCUACUAACUACGGACCAGUAGGUCUGAAGUGAACUACUCACAAGUCAUUGGAGGGGCGAUGAUGAUGAUGAAGAAGCCCACCUGGCUUGGCCCAGAAGCCCCCUGGACUUCUUCCGUUCGGGAAAAAAUCAUUUUGGGGUUUUUCUUCCGUUUGGACUCCAUUCCAAAAUCAGAUGUGAAAAGAGUCAAAAACACGGAAAAAACAGGAACUGGC